GGUCUUGUAGUGUAGUGGUUAUCACCCGGGAUUUUGAUUACUCUACUGGUGUGACCAGAUGUGAAAUUUCCCGAAACCCAGGUUCGAACCCUGGCAAGACCU